UUUGCAGACAGGUAGCGGGGUGGCGGGUUUAUGUGUAGCGUUUGUAAAACUGCUUCCCAUUCGACAUGGUUGGCUAGUGUCGUAAUUCAAGUUAAAAUUAAUUUAUAUUUGAAGAACCUCGAAUGUUACAUUUUUAAACGUUUGUUUUGAUUUUCAGGUCGACCUUUUUCUUCUUUCUGUGUUUUAUUGUCAGUGGUGAUAAUGAGUUACGGUAGGCCGCCGCCCGAUGUUGAGGGCAUGACUUCCCUCAAGGUGGAUAACCUGACGUACCGAACCUCACCGGAGACGCUGCGACGGGUUUUUGAGAAGUACGGGCGGGUCGGGGACGUGUAUAUUCCCCGAGAUCGCUACACGAAGGAGAGCCGCGGAUUCGCCUUUGUGCGGUUCCACGACAAGCGUGAUGCGGAGGACGCGAUGGACGCCAUGGACGGCGCGGUGCUGGAUGGGCGGGAGCUGCGAGUGCAGAUGGCCCGCUACGGACGGCCGCCUGAGUCGCACCACGGGCGCAGAGGAGGCCCGCCACGAAGGUAUGGGAGCUCCGGGAGGAGAAGCAGGAGCCCUCGACGACGCAGGCGCAGUCGCUCCCGAAGCAGGAGUCGUUCUAGGUCCCGCAGCCGCUCGCGGUACAGCAGAUCAAGAUCCCGAUCCUACUCCCGCUCCAGGUCUCGCUCCAAAACCCGUUCACCACGAAGAAUCAAGUCCAAGUCAAAGUCUUUGUCCAAGUCGCGCUCCAGGUCCAAGUCCCACUCUAGAUCCAGAAGCCGCACACCAGCCUCUGCCGUAAACUCUAAGUCCAGGUCGAGGUCCAAGAGCGUGCCCAAGUCUCCAGAAGAGGAGGGAGCAGUGUCCUCUUAACUCCAUGCUGCUGUUUCCUGUUUGCAAAAAAGGAGUUUGGGGCAGUUUGUGCAGAGUUAGAGAUUGUGUGAUCCGCCCUGGGGCCGCCUCCUGCUGUUGGGGUAUGCUUUGGAGCAGGUUGGUCAGAAUCAGUAAUGAGUUGGUGUUGAGGUACGUCUGCAGGACAAUGGAGAGAAGCCUUGCAUUGUCCUGCUCAUGUGUUGUCCAUGACCUUGGACUCGCAUACUUAAAACAGGAGGGGGAAAAAAAAGACUGCUCAGAUGAACAACCAAACCCAGUGAGGACAUCACUUCGAAAGUAAGAUCUCUCUGAAAGUGAUGGAGAGAUCCCCAAAACAAAUUGGCUGAUUUAAAGGUUAUUAUUGUAACAAUUUAUGGCCUAUAAAGUUUUUAAAUGUGUUUUUUUUUUUUUUUGUUUUGUUUUUUCCUGCAUAGAAAAUGAGGUUAAUUUGUAUGUGCCAUCUUGUUCCAAUUUCUUGUAACUAUUAAAUAGGAAGGACUUCAGAUACAUUUUGGGCUUGUAUAAGUGAGGUAAAGCAAAAACAUUUGAUGUUUGUAUUCUUCUGUUGCAAGUGCUUAGUCCAGUGCUGGGGUUUCCUUAACUUAGUAAUUUUAUUAAAACAAAAUAUUUUAACUUCCCAUAAUGAGGAAAUCCUGACAAGGAAGUUCAGUAGUGUAGGAGAAAGACAGACGCACAGCAGUAUUUUAAUUUAAUUGCUAUUGCUAACUAGUUGAACACCAAUUACUUUGAGAAAUUGGAGUUAAGACAAAUUGCAUUUUGGCUUUGCUACACUGUUAGGUUUUAAUUAUUUUGGUGGUAACCAUCAACCAGUUGCCCAUUACAGUCUAAAGACAGGUUAAAUAAAUGUUGGUUUUAGACUAGUUUUCAAAUUAAAGUUUUGGGUAAUAUAUGCAAAUAUCGUAUGAGGCAUUCAUUUAAACUAAGAUCAUUUUUGGUAUAAGUUCUAAAGUACUAGUGUGUGGUGACUUGUAGUAGUUGCAUAUGAAACCCAGCACUGACUUCAUUUAUUUGCGAUUUUUAUUAAUGUUUCAUCUGACUUGCGAUUCUAAUCUCUUCUCUUGUGUAUUUUUUGUGCACUAGGCGCAGUUGUGUAGCAGUUGUAUUGCUGGUUAGCUGUUAAGGUGGCGUGUUGCAGUGCAGAGUGCUUGGCUGUUUCCAGUUUUCUCCUGAUUGCUCCUGUGUAACGAUGCCUUGGCAAGCCGGUUUUAUUUUUAUUUUUUGAUUUUUAAAAUCCGGUCUGCUGCAAUUCCUGAAACCCAGGGUCACAUGAAAAUGCUUUUUAUUUUUGUAAUAUUGGAGCAUACAGUGAGCACAUCUAGCCAUUUAUUACACACCUUAUGGUUUUUUGGUAAUGGUAACUGAGUACAUCUAACUAAUUGCAUUUUAUAGACCGCUCUUGGUGCAUUCCUUUGUAAGUUGUAUCUUCUGCAAAAAUUUCUGUACUUGUAACCACUGUUCUGUGAAUGCUAAUAAACUUUUCUUUUGGUGUAAA